GCCAUUGUAGCUCAGCUGGUAGAGCACUUCACUCGUAAUGAAGGGGUCGCGUGUUCAAGUCACGUCAAUGGCU
rnacentral:tRNA from 1 species